AAUCAACGCUGGCGGCGUGCCUAACACAUGCAAGUCGAACGCGAAAGGGCUUCGGGCCCUGAGUAGAGUGGCGUCCGGGUGAGUAACGCGUGGGUAAUCUACCCUCGGGUGGGGAACUAACCAAUCGAAAGAUUGGCUAAUACCGCAUAAUGCAGCGCUCGACAUCGAGACAGUUGUUAAAGCAGCAAUGCGCCAGAGGAGGAGCCUGCGUCUGAUUAGCUUGUUGGCGGGGU
rnacentral:rRNA from 1 species